ensembl:lncRNA
CUGUUCGGCAGAGGAGCGCGGGAAAAUUUUCACUAAAAUAUUAAUAUUUAAAAAACUAUAAAAUUCACAAAGACCAAAAGUCAUAGCACACCAUUCCAGAUCCGGCCGCACAAAAUGAGGUAACAUAUAUGAAGCUUGUCUCAAAACUGCGGGGCGAGAUUCGCUGCAAAAUUUCAGGCGGAAACUGGAGAAUAAUAAUAAUAACUAGAAAGCGAAAAUUUCUGAAGAAAUUUUAUGUGUGCCUAUGCCGCUGCUAAUCUGUGUAGUUUGCCAUUCUUACGGCUACAGAGAGCAAAACUCAGCAGAGCAGCCAUUCUCCACCAUGAAUUAUGAUAAAAACAAACACCGCUCGCGCCUCACAGAUGACAGCUUACAGUUUUGGGUAAAGAUGAAGUGACUUUGUACAGCCCCGAUUUGCAGACGCUGUGCACACAGGUUCAUGAGCAGAAGUCCCAUUGUACCACGGCAGACCUGACAAUGUUUGCAUGAACACGCUUUGAAGCAUUACGUUAUGGACCACUUUUCACACAUGGUUGGUGUACCCAAACAGCCGGCUGUAGCUUUUCAACUCACAGCCCGACACACACCCAAAAACAGCCGAGAGCACAGACUACGC